AGGUUGGGUGUGGACGGAAGAACAAAGGUGCAGAAGGAGGCGGGAAAAGACACAGACGCAAGCUGAGGCGGCCGUGUGAAAUACCACAGGAGUUCAGGAAAGCUCAAGACUUUUCUCUGAUACUUACUGUGGGAAUCUGGUCGAGCUCCUGGAGCGGAAGUCGGCAUUGAUGGAAAGGAAGCCAUUUGCCAAAAGCUAAUGGUGGUGAGAGGGAUGUCUGUGUGUUCUACCGUAUCAGCUGGGUGUCACAAAGGUGGUUCAAUAUCUGCAGCAUUAGAAUGAGGGACAGUCUCCAGCAAAAUCAUAAUGGAACACACCCAAGUACUCAAUGUUGGCCAUUGGGUUUCCUGAUGCAAAUUACGUUUUCCCUGAAGCCUUGGGCUGCCUUGCGCAUGAAUAAUUUUUGGAGAAACACCCACGCCCGUUAGCCCAUUGUUCGUAACUAUUGGAAGAAGAUUAACCAGAGCCUGGAAAUUGUAUAUCUGCGUAUGCCUCUGAAUCUGUCACAGGAAACCAAAGGAGAUAAGUAGCUUUUACUUUGGAUGAAGAGACAAAAACAUUUAACAAGGUUAAAAAAUGAAACCCAGUGAAAAAGAUUGGAACGCAGUCAGAUAACCGGUGAGGUGACAGAUGGAGAAAACAACAGAAUGCAUGCCCCUUUGAAGGCCUUGUAAUCUUUGGAUUUAGUGUGAAAAGUUUCAGAAAAUCAUAGACUUUUACUGUGUCACUGUCUGUAGACCCUGGAAAAAUAACAGUAAAUUCAUGUAUAUGUACAUCUCCUCACUGCUUACCCAGAGUUACAUAAAUGCUUCCCAAA